GAUGAACGCUAGCUACAGGCUUAACACAUGCAAGUCGAGGGGAAACGACAUCGAAAGCUUGCUUUUGAUGGGCGUCGACCGGCGCACGGGUGAGUAACGCGUAUCCAACCUGCCCAUCACUUGGGGAUAACCUUGCGGAAGUAAGACUAAUACCCAAUGAUAUCUCUAGAAGACAUCUGAAAGGGAUUAAAGAUUUAUCGGUGAUGGAUGGGGAUGCGUCUGAUUAGCUUGUUGGCGGGGUAACGGCCCACCAAGGCGACGAUCAGUAGGGGUUCUGAGAGGAAGGUCCCCCACAUUGGAACUGAGACACGGUCCAAACUCCUACGGGAGGCAGCAGUGAGGAAUAUUGGUCAAUGGGCGAGAGCCUGAACCAGCCAAGUAGCGUGCAGGAAGACGGCCCUAUGGGUUGUAAACUGCUUUUAUAAGGGAAUAAAGUGAGUCUCGUGAGACUUUUUGCAUGUACCUUAUGAAUAAGGACCGGCUAAUUCCGUGCCAGCCGCCGCCGUAA
rnacentral:rRNA from 1 species